CCAACAGGGAUUACCUCAGUAACGGCGAGUGAAGCGGUAACAGCUCAAAUUUGAAAGCUAGCUCUUUUAGGGUUCGCAUUGUAAUUUGUAGAAGAUGCUUCGAGUGUGGCCCCGGUCUAAGUUCCUUGGAACAGGACGUCAUAGAGGGUGAGAAUCCCGUAUGUGACUGGGUGCUUUCGCUCAUGUGAAGCUCUCUCGACGAGUCGAGUUGUUUGGGAAUGCAGCUCAAAAUGGGUGGUAAAUUUCAUCUAAAGCUAAAUAUUGGCCAGAGACCGAUAGCGCACAAGUAGAGUGAUCGAAAGAUGAAAAGCACUUUGGAAAGAGAGUUAAACAGUACGUGAAAUUGUUGAAAGGGAAGCGCUUGCAACCAGACUUGCGCGCUGAUGAUCAUCCGGGCUUCUGCCCGGUGCACUCGUCUGCGCUCAGGCCAGCAUCGGUUUCGGUGGUGGGAUAAAGGCCUUGGGAAUGUGGCUCCUCUCGGGGAGUGUUAUAGCCCUCGGUGCAAUGCCGCCUACCGGGACCGAGGACCGCGCUUCGGCUAGGAUGCUGGCGUAAUGGUUGUAAGCGACCCGUCUUGAAACACGGACCAAGGAGUCUAACAUCUAUGCGAGUGUUUGGGUGUCAAACCCAUACGCGUAAUGAAAGUGAACGGAGGUGAGAACCCUUAAGGGUGCAUCAUCGACCGAUCCUGAUGUCUUCGGAUGGAUUUGAGUAAGAGCAUAGCUGUUGGGACCCGAAAGAUGGUGAACUAUGCGUGAAUAGGGUGAAGCCAGAGGAAACUCUGGUGGAGGCUCGCAGCGGUUCUGACGUGCAAAUCGAUCGUCAAAUUUGCGUAUAGGGGCGAAAGACUAAUCGAACCAUCUAGUAGCUGG
rnacentral:rRNA from 1 species